UAGGGAAUCUUCGGCAAUGGACGAAAGUCUGACCGAGCAACGCCGCGUGAGUGAAGAAGGUUUUCGGAUCGUAAAACUCUGUUGUUAGAGAAGAACAAGGACGUUAGUAACUGAACGUCCCCUGACGGUAUCUAACCAGAAAGCCACGGCUAACUACGUGCCAGCAGCCGCGGUAAUACGUAGGUGGCAAGCGUUGUCCGGAUUUAUUGGGCGUAAAGCGAGCGCAGGCGGUUUCUUAAGUCUGAUGUGAAAGCCCCCGGCUCAACCGGGGAGGGUCAUUGGACACUGGGAGACUUGAGUGCAGAAGAGUAGAGUGGAAUUCCAUGUGUAGCGGUGAAAUGCGUAGAUAUAUGGAGGAACACCAGUGGCGAAGGCGGCUCUCUGAUCUGUAACUGAAGCUGAGGCUCGAAAGCGUGGGGAGCAAACAGG
rnacentral:rRNA from 1 species